rnacentral:rRNA from 1 species
UAAGGAAUAUUGGUCAAUGGACGCAAGUCUGAACCAGCCAUGCCGCGUGAAGGAUUAAGGCCCUCUGGGUUGUAAACUUCUUUUAUAGGGGAAGAAAUGUGACGGUUCUCCGUCACUUGACGGUACCCUGGGAAUAAGCACCGGCUAACUCCGUGCCAGCAGCCGCGGUAAUACGGAGGGUGCAAGCGUUAUCCGGAUUCACUGGGUUUAAAGGGUGCGUAGGUGGGCAGAUAAGUCAGUGGUGAAAUCUUCCGGCUUAACCGGAAACUGCCGUUGAUACUAUUUGUCUUGAAUAUUGCGGAGGUCAGCGGAAUAUGUCAUGUAGCGGUGAAAUGCUUAGAUAUGACAUAGAACACCAAUUGCGAAGGCAGCUUACUACACAAUCAUUGACACUGAGGCACGAAAGCGUGGGUAGCGAACA